rnacentral:rRNA from 1 species
UACGGAGGAUGCAAGCGUUAUCCGGAAUGAUUGGGCGUAAAGCGUCCGCAGGUGGCAAUGUAAGUCUGCUGUCAAAGCGUCUGGCUCAACCAGAUAAAGGCAGUGGAAACUACAUAGCUAGAGUAAGGUAGGGGUAGAGGGAAUUCCUGGUGUAGCGGUGAAAUGCGUAGAGAUCAGGAAGAACACCGGUGGCGAAAGCGGCUCACUGGACCGGAACUGACGCUGAGGCGCGAAAGCGUGGGGAGCAAACAGG